rnacentral:rRNA from 1 species
AUUGAACGCUGGCGGCAGGCCUAACACAUGCAAGUCGAACGGUAACAGGAAGAAGCUUGCUUCUUUGCUGACGAGUGGCGGACGGGUGAGUAAUGUCUGGGAAACUGCCUGAUGGAGAGGGAUAACUACUGGAAACGGUAGCUAAUACCGCAUAACGUCGCAAGACCAAAGAGGGGGACCCUUGGGCCUCUUGCCAUCGGCUGUGCCCAGAUGGGAUUAGCUUGUUGGUGGGGUAACGGCUCACCAAGGCGACGAUCCCUAGCUGGUCUGAGGGGAUGACCAGCCACACUGGAACUGAGACACGGUCCAGACUCCUACGGGAGGCAGCAGUGGGGAAUAUUGCACAAUGGGCGCAAGCCUGAUGCAGCCAUGCCGCGUGUAUGAAGAAGGCCUUCGGGUUGUAAAGUACUUUCAGCGGGGAGGAAGGGAGUAAAGUUAAUACCUUUGCUCAUUGACGUUACCCGCAGAAGAAGCACCGGCUAACUCCGUGCCAGCCGCCGCUGUAA